GUAAUUGAUUAUAAUGUGGCCAGGUUACAACAGCUAGGGUGUGAAAUCGACAGGAUUCCAACAUUUCAUGCGAUCAUGAGGUAUUUGACGCUCUAAAACUGCUAAGUUUUCCAACAGUGUUCUGAAAGCCCAAGAUGGACCAGAAAAUUAGGCAGCUGAAACUGAAUUAGAAAAAUCCUCUCCUAAGAAGAUUGCUAAGUUUGAUCAUGGUUUAAGAUAUUAAAACAGUGUCUUCAUGUUCUUCUAAAGUACUUGUACUUAUUGCUUGGUAAUUGUCAGUGUCUGUGUGGAGUGAGUGAUAUGGUAGUUUUGAUUGUACAGAAUGGGGAAUUUCAAGCCUGUGAAACAGAUAUUACUUUCGCAUACAUACCUAACCUAAAGAUAUAUACAUGUAAUACCACUUAGGUAUUGAUUAUAUUGUCUUCUUUCAUGUUGAUAUCAUUUAUUGCUUAAAAUUUGUACUCUGGAACAAUAUUUCACAGGCUGAAUGCACAUCAUUCUGUUUGUUUUCAAUGUGAAGAAUUUGUCUGUAUGAGAGCGAAACACAGGGAGGGGUAACCUGUACAGUGGUCUCCCCCCCGUUUUCUCAAGUACAUGUAUGUAGGCUCAGUAAAGGGUGGCAAAAGGUUGUAACAUGCAAAGACAAAACUCUCGUGCAGAUUUUCUGAAUAUUAUGCAUCUAAGUAAUGUAUCUCUUCUUAGUAAAUUUCCUCGCUUGGUGUUUUGAAUUUGUUGUUAUAAAAUAAGAGAAUCCGACUAUUUGSCACCCUGGCCUACAGGAGAUCCUUUCAAUGAUGAUCCUAUGGAUGACCACAACAGGGCCUAUCAUUAACAAAAUGGUCACUCAACCUCUUAAUAAACAAGGGAAACUGGGGGUGUGAUGGUUUAAUGACAUCAAAGGGAAUCCGACAGGGCUUUCAYAGUUGAUUCUGGCAAUAUUAUGUGAAUUUUAAUGAAUUUAUUGAGCUUGGGAUGUUUUGAACACUCUGUUUGAGAAUGCUUACUUUAAAAGUAAAAUUGGCUAUUUUCAUGCCGGGACAACUGUGGAAGACUCUGGUAGCAGGAAACUUAAAUUGUAAUAAUAGCAGACUAUAAAAGCUGGUUAUACCUGAAAUUCACUGAUGUCAAUUAUAUAAAAGCAACCUUAUUACACAUGUAUCUUCCCAAUUUUUGUAUCGAGUUGAAUUUUUUAUUUUGAAUGAUUAUGCUCAAUCACUUCUGGUGUGAAUUUUGGGUAUAACAGUAAAAUGAACUUACAUAGGGGACUUAGAGCUGUGGUGCGCAAUAUAAAACUGUUUUUUCAUGUAAGAUUAGUAUGAUGUAUAAGAUAUAAAUAAAAAAAAAUUAUCUGGAA